GAUUGAGCCUUGGUAUGGAACCUACCAAGUGAGAACUUUCAAAUUCAGAGAAACCCUGGAAUUAAAAAUGGGCGAUCCUGAGCCAAAUCCUGUUUUAUUAAAACAAACAAGGGUUUCAUAAACCGAGAAUAAAAAAGGAUAGGUGCAGAGACUCAAUGGAAGCUGUUCUAACAAAUGGAGUUGGCUGCAUUGUGUUAGUAAAGGAAUCCUUACAUCGAAACUUCCAAAAGGAUGAAGGAUAAACCUAUAUGCAUACGUAUAGUACUGCAAUACUAUCUCCAAAUGAUUAAUGACGGCUCAAAUCUGUAUUUUUUUAUAUUUAUAUGAAAAACGAAAGAAUUGUUGUGAAUCGAUUAAAAAUUGAAAAAAGAAUCGAAUAUUCAUUGAUCAAAUCAUUCACUCCAUCAUAGUCUGAUAGAUCUUUUUAAGAAUUGAUUAAUCGGACGAGAAUAAAGAUAGAGUCCCAUUAUACAUGUCAAUAUCGACAACAAUGAAAUUUAUAGUAAGAGGAAAAUCCGUCGACUUUAGAAAUCGUGAGGGUUCAAGUCCCUCUAUCCCCAAAACGAAACGGUUGACUCCCUAA
rnacentral:ncRNA from 1 species